GGAUGUUCCGUUUCUUAGCGCACUUCUUCAGAGGGUGCACGUCCACAGGUUUGGUAGGGCUUAAAGUUUGCUGGCUGUCCGUAAAAAAAUGUCUCUCACAAACGUUAGGCGAUGGACCCGUAUCGUUUUGAUCGUGAUUAAUGUACUAGUUGGCCACAGUGGUAACAUUAAGUUAAUGGAUAGGGAAGGGUCCUGUUCAUGAUUUUUUCCCCCUACGGAAGCAAUGUAGCUGAAGCAAAAAGCUACUUGAAUUGGUGAGUGAAAACUGCCUUGGGUGGACACCGUUGUGCUUCGCCAUGGCACGUGGUCGCCAGCAUGGCUUCUGCAGUAGAGGAAUGAGGCUAAGGACGCCAAGGAGUAUGGAGUACAUUGUUUCAGACUGAGCUGCAGAUCAACCUACUGUCCCCUGACUUGCAGUGGCCUUCAAAUGGAAGGGAUGGACAAUGGUGUGGAGUAUGGUGAAGAUAUGAAGACCUUUUUUUCUUUCUUUUUUUCUAAAAUAUGUUUUGUUAAACCAAAAAAUAAAUUGACUUUCAAACAUGGCCACUACUUUGUUGUUAUUUUAAAUACCUGGCACUGCCUUUGAACCUGUGUUACCCUUUCCAUGGUUUCAUAGGCCAAGCUGCAGUGCAACAGUAAGUGCUCUUGUUAUAACUGGGGCUUCUUGGCUCUUUCACCAAGUUGCUCUUUUAAGAGCAAGCUACAUCUAUGU